rnacentral:lncRNA from 1 species
CAACCAAAGUUCGAAAUGUCGAAAGAGUUUUGUUUUCAUGGAUUACGUACAUUUAUGUACCUUAAAAGGGCAACGAAUGGUAAAUAUGAUUAUGCACCUUUUUUAUUAUAAUUGGACAAAAGCAGGAAGAUGUGUGUGCAAAUUUUUCACUAAACAACUAUUUGACUGUUGAUUGUAAACCCGAGAACGAUAUUGUAAUGUAUAUAUCCGAUAGAAAUCAGUAAUUGCAUUUAUUAAUCAUCUGUUACAUUAUCUAUCAUGAGGUCAUUUUUAAAUACAUCCCAAAUAACAAUGUUUGUAGAGAUUAGUUAAAUUUAAAAAAGGGGGGGGGGAGAGGCAUCAAUACUGAAUGAAUGGAUAGAUGUCAGUUAGGUUCUAUGACUCUCAUUUUUUCAUAUAAUUUAGAUUUAUAAAAUGUAUACCGGUUUUUCAUACAUUGCAUAGCCAAAGGUAAUAAUGUUAAUGUAAUUUUUUUCCAAAUUUUAAUUACAUGUAUGAUCAAGCUGAGACUACAAUCACACUGUUAAUAUCAAGUGGUUCCAAGACGAGAAUCACAUUCCAGAAUAAUCGAGAAAAUCAUUAUUCAUUAUUGCACGCCAUUUUUAUAUUUAUUCAAAUUUGAAGAUAUCUUAUUUAUUUAAAAAGAUAUCUUAUUAAGUAUUAAGAUAUCUUUAAUUUUUAUAAGAUAUCUUAUUUAAUUUGAAAGUAAAUAAGAUAUCUUAUUUAAUUUGAAAGUAAAUAAGAUAUCUCUAUUAGUUUAUAAGAUAUCUCUAUUAGUUUAUAAGAUAUCUCUAUAAGUUAAUAAGAUAUCUCUAUUAAUUAAGAGUCUUUGAUUUUUGGUGUAUAAACGCCACUUUUAAACAACGCAUUUAUGCUAUUUCAAGGCGGCCAACUUUUAUUUGUGGAGGAAGCUUGAGAAAAACCACCAACUUUCAAUAGGAAAACUGACAAUCCUAGUCAAUUAAGAUUGGAGUCAAGUGCACCCGUACUAGCAGGGUUCGAGCUCACAACCUCAGUGUUGACUGGCUAGUGAUUUAACACAGUAGUAACUACAUAGACCACUCAGCCACCGAGGCCUUCCAACAAUUAUUAGUUAAAAUACAAGUACAAAUGUAGUCCAAAUAAUUAUGAAGUCUUGAAAGGUAUUAUACUUAAUUUUAUUUACAUCUAUGUCACAGAAUGGCGUCAAUGCAAAAAUUAAAAAUAACCUUUCUAGACGUCAUAAUAAUUUUUUUUCAACAAUGAGCAAAGUGCAUCAUGCAAAGUCAGCUUUAAAAGACGCAAAAUGUGUAAAUGAUGUAAACAAUGGUAAAUGACAAAUGUGAAACAAUUCAAAUGAAGGAACUUACAGACUGAAAAUGAUUUUUAAAGAAAACAAGGAACAAAUAAACAAAUAUGAUAUACUUGCUAGUGUAGCAACAAACUACAACAUGAACUUCUAAAUAACAGGCUUCUGACUUGGGACAGAAACAUACAGCAUGUACAGGAUGUGAUGGAGUCAAACCAGUUUGUUGGUGCCAAAUUAAACCCCUUCCUAACCUUGGAUAGUGGUGUGAAAAGGGCUUAACACAUUUGCCAUCAGAUACAUGUAUGUACAAAGCAAAAAGACAUCUAACAAAAACAUAAACCAGACAGGGUAUUUAUACAUCACCACAGGCACAACAAAAAUAACCUCUUUAAGUCCAGAUUUGAGAGUUACCUCUUAGUUACUGAUAACUAGUUCAAAGCUAACAACAAGUUAUUUACCACCAAACCUUGCCUGGUUAAGGUUUAUUCCAGAUACUAAGUAGUAACUACAGCAUACAAAAUAGUUCAGGUUUUGGUGUAAAAUGUAUGCAAUAAUUAUAAUAGGGCAUGAAUGAGUCUGCAAGUCUGUGUCUAUCAACAUGAUCAAGGUUCAUUUGACCUUGUCUUGAUCUCAUUUACACUGACCAAAUUUAAACAUCAUUAUGUAUACAUGUACAUGUAACUUCAAAUUUCAAAAAAGAGUGGAAACAAAAAAUCAACAAUUUUAUUAAUUCAUUUGUAAAGGAGCAUAACUCUUGAAAUGUAUAAGUAAUUCCUCUAGAAUUCAAAACUUGAUCUGUGUUACAAAGUGUAAAUUUUAUGUGGUUUAAUAUAAGCAUUGUGUGUAAUUUUCGUUGCAUUUGGUCAAAACAAACGGAAACUACAAUAAAAAAAAAAAAAAAAUCAGUCAUUUUUAAUUUGUAAAGGGUAUAAAACAAGAACAGUAAAAGUGAUGCCACCAAAUAUGAACUCGUUCUGAAUUUAUAAAUGUGGAAAUAAGCGGUGUGUAUAAUAGUUUCAUGAACAUUUGGUUGAGGCAAACUAAAAUUAAGGAGAAAAGAACAAUAAAAAUUCGACAAUGCAUAACUGAGAAAAGAUAAGAGUAACACAUGUGACCACCAUUUUUUGGGACAUACAACAAAAUGUAUGUACUGACGGAUGGACAAGGUUAAAAUUUACCCCCCCCCCACCACCCCCAAUACGACAGGGGCAUACAUGUAACAAAAUGCAUGUAAUACAUUGUAACUGAAGAUUGUUAUUACAGCUUCUGUAAAUAACUUCAAAGCUUUUGCUCAGACAUAUAUCAGUAUAUCAUGCUUUUAAAAUCACAAUGUAUUGUAUUUCAAGUCAUUGUAAGACAUAACGAUCAUGAUGAUCAGAGCAUGCUUUCCAGUAAUUACCAAACUGUCUCAUAUAAAACAUGUAAUACAUGUCUGUAAUAACCAUGAUAACUAGGCCUUACAUGUUAUACAUGUACAAAUGUUACAGCUAAGUUUAAUCCCUUGAAAUCCCUUGUCUCAUUGACUAAAGAAGUUACCAUGGUUGAUUAAAAAUGUAUACAUUUAAUUUGAAAAUUAGUUAUAAAGGCUGUGUAUUUAGUUACUGCACAUAUAAAGUUUCAAAAAUUCCCUAGUGCACACCAAAAACAAUAAAUAUAUGUUACUACCGAAGAAAAUUUUAGAAAUGAAGAGUUGACAACUCAUGAAAUUAUCUGGCAUAACAACAUGCAUGUUAUUUUCACUAAUAACUUAUUUAAUAUAAAAAAAAACCAAGAUGUGGUAUGAUUGCCAAUGAGACAACUGUCCAUAAGAGACCAAAAUGACACAGAAAUUAACAACUAUAGGGCACCGUACAACCUUCAACAAUGAGAAAAGCCCAUACUGCAAAGUCAGCUAUAAAAGGUCCCUAAAUGACAAUGUAAAACAAUUCAAACGAGAAAACUUAGGGCCUUAUUUUUGUACAAAAAAUGAACACAAAACAAAUAUGUAACACAUAAACAAACGACAACCACUGAGUUACAGGCUCCUGAAUUAGUUUAUCCCCUUGACCAUGUACAUUUGUACGUUAUACUGAUGAAAAAGAUUGGCAUUAUACAUUUGUAAAUCAAGAACUUAUUUAGUCAGAGAUCAAAAUUUAACCACUUUGAUACACCAUUGAAUUCAUACAACAGGCAUAUGGAUUUAAUAAGAGAGAUUAGAACAUUCAAAUAAUUUAAUACUUUUAUUAUAUUUGUACAUGUACAUGUAUAUACUAGUAUUAAUUUUUUUCAGGGCAAGUCUAGAUCUGUUGCUCUUGUUUUAAAAGAUCAAAAUAAGCCAGUUUUGCCAUAUACCAUGUACAUGUAUAACAUGCAUGUAUAAAGAUAUUUAAGGCAAUUUGUCAGAUAGUUUAACUUCAUUUCAUUUUACAUUAUUUCUUUUAGCAUUUUCUAUGGAAGUACAUGUACUUCAAGAAGAAGAAGCUAAGCAACAGAAUGGAAUUCUCUGAGGCAUUGCUUUCUAGAUUAUAUGAUGGAUUCAUAGAUUUUCAUAUUGAUUUAUGUGCAUAUAAAGAGCAGCCGGCAAUUAUUUUAUGACGAGAGGUAUGUACAUGUAAUAAAAAGGAUAACUUUGUUUGAAUAUUUUGUUGUCAGACUAUCUACAUGUUACACAUUUUGAUUUCGUGUAAGCAGUGAAAAAUUAUUUUUCUACUGGACCAUUUUAUUGAAAAAAGCAUUGGAAGCUCUAUAUACACUCCAUUGC